GACGAACGCUGGCGGCGUGCCUAAUACAUGCAAGUCGAACGCUUCCUACCGGUGCUUGCACCGGGAAAGAAGAGUGGCGGACGGGUGAGUAACACGUGGGUAACCUACCUACAAGCGGGGGAUAACAUUCGGAAACGGAGGCUAAUACCGCAUAGAUCUUUUUGUCUCCUGGCAGAAAGAAGAAAGACGGUUUCGGCUGUCACUUGUAGAUGGACCCGCGGCGCAUUAGUUAGGUGGUGAGGGAAUGGCUCACCAAGACGAUGAUGCGUAGCCGACCUGAGAGGGUGAUCGGCCACACUGGGACUGAGACACGGCCCAGACUCCUACGGGAGGCAGCAGUAGGGAAUCUUCCGCAAUGGACGAAAGUCUGACGGAGCAACGCCGCGUGAGUGAAGAAGGUUUUCGGAUCGUAAAACUCUGUUGUUAGAGAAGAACAAGGAUGAGAGUAACUGCUCGUCCCUUGACGGUAUCUAACCAGAAAGCCAUGGCUAACUACGUGCCAGCCGCCGCAGUAA
rnacentral:rRNA from 1 species